GAGUUUCAGAGACGUGAAGAGUGUGAAGUGAUCUACCAUGUAUGUACCAGAUCUGCUUUAAGAUGAAAGUCAAUCAUCUGGAUGAUAAAGCAUCAGGAAGUUUAUCUCAUCAUGUGGAGUUAUGCUGUUGGUUGCUGUGAAUUCCAUUUUUACGGUUUCUUCUCUCUUCCUGUUCUUAUCAUGAACAUUUCAGUGUGUUUCUUAGAAAAGAUGCACGCAGCUUCUUUCGGAAUCGUGCUGUCCUGGCACGAAGAUUCUUGUGCAAAUGCUGACCUUUGUCCAUGACGGAAGAUGGACUUCCACCAACAUCCUGAUCUUCGCGACGCUCGCUCAUCUAGCUUCACUGC